rnacentral:rRNA from 1 species
CGGAACGUGCCCAGUCGUGGGGGAUAACGUAGCGAAAGUUACGCUAAUACCGCAUACGAUCUAUGGAUGAAAGCGGGGGAUCGCAAGACCUCGCGCGAUUGGAGCGGCCGAUAUCAGAUUAGGUAGUUGGUGAGGUAAAGGCUCACCAAGCCUUCGAUCUGUAGCUGGUCUGAGAGGACGACCAGCCACACUGGGACUGAGACACGGCCCAGACUCCUACGGGAGGCAGCAGUGGGGAAUUUUGGACAAUGGGCGAAAGCCUGAUCCAGCAAUGCCGCGUGCAGGAUGAAGGCCUUCGGGUUGUAAACUGCUUUUGUACGGAACGAAACGGCGAACUCUAAUACAGUUUGCUAAUGACGGUACCGUAAGAAUAAGCACCGGCUAACUACGUGCCAGCAGCCGCGGUAAUACGUAGGGUGCGAGCGUUAAUCGGAAUUACUGGGCGUAAAGCGUGCGCAGGCGGUUCUAUAAGACAGAUGUGAAAUCCCCGGGCUCAACCUGGGAAUUGCAUUUGUGACUGUAGAGCUAGAGUACGGUAGAGGGGGAUGGAAUUCCGCGU